rnacentral:lncRNA from 1 species
CAGAGAGCACAGAUUUUUUUGAUUAUGUAGAUUUCUUUUCCUACUGCAGUUUCAUAUGCAAAGCAUGCAUCGGCCACAUCCAUGCUAUCUCCUAAAGCAGUCAUUCUGAAACCCAAUCUGGGGACAGUGCAGACUAAAUAAAAUUUCAUUUUGAUUUGGCCUCCCGCUGCGAACGGGACUGCUUUGUCUCGGCCGACAGAACCAGCAAGCCAGAAAGGUACCGAAACUGGGAACCGAUGUUCCUCUGGAACCAGCAUGAAAACUCCACAAAAUCCCUAGUUUGUCUCCACAGUGUUCUUAUUCCAAGUGUGCUGAGAGAAAAGGCCAGACAUGGAUACCUUAAUUUUGUAAAACAGAAAGCGUUUCAAGAAUAUCCUGGAGGCAGAUGCAUCUUAAAUAUGAAAAUCAAAGCAGACACUUCAGAAGGGAAUGCAGCUUCAGCGGGAACUCUAAGAAUUUCCUGAGAAUUGACCAAAGAGAAGAUGCCACCGAAGACACACAGGCAACGUGUUUCCUGAGUAUUGACCACAGAGGAGGCGUCACCUAAGACACAGGCAACGUCUCCAUUAAACUCGGCCUCUGAGAAACUUGUCUGUAUCCUGGUCACCCAGUGUCUGCCCGUCUGUCUUCCUCCAUCCCUUACAUUCCCUUGACCCUGUUGACUUUGCCUGCCUGGUUUUCCAUUUACUUCCGGAGGCAUUGCACUGUUUUUUAAAGAGCAACGAUUCUGCCGCAACACUUCUAGAGAAAGGCAAUCAGACUCUGGUCUUCAUAGUUAUAAUUCUGUUGCCCAGCAACUACCUGUAUUUGAACCUUUUCACUCAUUUAACUGUGUUCUCCCAAACUCCUAGCACAUUAUUCCGUUGGCUUUCUUUAUUUUGGGCAGCAGAGGAAUUUCCGCUCUAGAAUUCAGCUGCCUGCAGGAAAACGUAUUCAGGAGGAGACUCAGUAAUAAGGAGGACUCCCUGUUAAAGACCGGGUUACAUUGCCAGCACUUACAAGGUAGCUCACAGCUACCAAUCACUGCGAUUCUGAAGAACUUAAUGCCUUUCAUUCCACAGGCUCCUGCAUGCAUGUGAUACACAUAAACUUGUUCAAGCACACACAUGUACACAUAAAAACAACAAAUACAUUUAUUUUUAUACAUUUUUAAAGUAUUCAAGAGCUUACACCAGCACAUUCUAGUGUACAAGUCAGAUAGACAGCCUUGCUUGUAUCCUUCAUAGAACAAGGACCAAGGUUGUGAAAACCCUAGCUGACCGAAGCUGGGGCAAUGUCUCAGAGCAUGUUAUACAAAUUUCAGAGACUAAGAUAGCUUUCUAUCUUAGAAUUCCAUUUCUAUAAUCUUCUACUUAUCAAGAUAUUUUGUCUAAGAAAUCAGCUGACUUUGCACAGCACUGAUCAGUUACAAAGUAUGACCUUGGAGGACCAGAGAUCCCUCUGUCCUGUGCUGUGCCUCCUACACAGGUUAUCCUUACAGGAGCCCUCCUCCUGCUGCCCCGGCUGCUGCUGGGGCAGAGUAUGAUGAUGGUGAUGGUGGUGGUGGUGAUAAUGAUGAUGGAGAUAAUGGUGGUGGUGGUGAUGAUAAUGAUGAAGAAGAAGAGGAAAAUGAUGUCCUUGCUUUUCCACCCCCGUGGACCACUUUGCGUUUUUAUAAUCUAAAACAAUUACUGGAACACAUAUGAUUUUGAAUGUUUGUUGGAGAAAAGGUUAGAUCAACACUGAUUCCACAGCACUAACCAACCAAGGAUGGUGAAAACAGUGUGACUACACACACACUCACACACUCACACACUCACACACACAUACAACAAAUAGUCACUUCUAUGCAAAGCUACUUCUCAUCUGAAAGCUAAUAGGGACAUUUUUGCAGGGCAGUGAGACCAAGACAUUUGUUUUGCUCACGAUGAAAGUCCAAUGCCCACGACCAAGGACAUAUUCUGGAGCUUCUCUCUUAAGGAGAAAGAAGAAUAUAAUUUAGAGGGAUGAGACAGUAUUAGAGAAAAGAACUUGUUGAGAAAAGUGAACAACACACAGGGAAUAAUCAGGAGAGCAAGAGUUUGAAUCUAAGAAUGUUGUGGGCAUCUGAGCCAUAGUUGUGACUUGGUAUGAGACACAAACAGUAAAGGCAACUAUGUGAGAAUUGUUCCCACCAUUGCCUGUUCUCAGAGCCCAUUCCUGCUCACUCCCAGAGAGUGUCUCACUGCAUGAGCACACUACAAUUUAUACAUUUAUGGAAGUGGUGCACAAAUGUUCAGGUCCUUUCCAGUUUAGGGCUGCUGGGGAUAACCCUGGGUGGACUUGGAUAUAAAAGCUUUGCCUGUACCACAUUUCCAUUGUCUUUUUAUCCAUAAACCCUGACCAGUAAGUUUGUGUUGUAAGGCCAAUGGUUUGCCUCUUUGAAGGAGGGGGACAGUUCAUCCUUCCGGGUCAUUUUAACGGUAACUACAGUCAUGAUCACUGAGUCUGCAUCCUUGUGGGUGGCUCUAUUGCAUGAGAGAAUCUGAAAGACACACGCUGAAGUGCCUGAAUUUCUUAUUAUAUUUGGGUAUGAAUAUAUUUUGGGAUGCAGGUCUUUUUCCUAAUACAUGCUUCAAGGAUAUUUUUUGCCAAUUCACAAGAGUUUGUACGAGCUCACCAUGUCUUUGAGGAGCAGGAGAUUUUAAUUCGAUGAACUCCACGUUUGUGGCUGUGUUGUUGCGCUAAGGCAUCGAAUUGUUCCAACGCCAUUUUAUAAAUGCUUCCUGGCUUUGAUGCAUCUAGAGUGUGACAGGUGCUCCACAACAGAACAUCUAUGAACACGGUAUAGAGAAAACUCACAAAAGAUUGCAAGAGAUUCCAAAGCUUCAUUUUAACCUUUAAAAACCUUGAGAUCUGAGAUCCUUGAGGCCCCAGGGAAGGGGGAGGCCUGGUGGAGGUGGGGGAGCACCUUCUCAGAGGAAAGCGGGAGGAGGAAUGGGAUGAGGAACUGUGGGAGGGUGACCAGGAAGGGGGCAAUCAACGACUAGAACGUAAAGAAAAUAAUUUUAAAACAAAAACAAAACAAACAAACCAGCCAAACAAAAGAACCUCGAGAUCUCUGUAGAGUUGGGCCAAAUCAUGAGAAAUUAUACAAAAUAAUAGCAGAAAUAUUUGCCCGGUUUUCUUAGGGUACCACAGUCAGGUCAAGUAUAGCACGUGCGGGAAACUCACACUGAACAGGUGGUCAACACUGCUGGUUUUGUCUGAGACUUUCUUCUAGGCCCGUGGAAUCCCAUUUCGGCUUCCCUGGUGGCUGCGGAGAAGGCGCAUCUUCUGCUUAGCUGCCGCCUUUAUCCUUCUCACGGAGCUCUUACUUUUUAUCGUUUUUUAUUAUUAUUAUUAUUAUUAUUAUUAUUAACUAUUUGCAAUUUUUCAAUUACAUAAUCUUCAAAUAUUAUAGCCCAGUCUGCUGCUUGUCUUUUUGUCUUCUCUGCCCUGAUUUUUGCCCGGAGAGGGUUGUGUUUCUGAUCCAUUCUAAUUCACACUGUGGUUCUGACCAGGUGUUUAAAUCUCUGCUUUGCCUCAGAUCCGCAAGGUUUUCCCCGAAUCUUCUAAUACUCACACACCUCAUGACUCUCAGGCUUAUGGUUCAUUUUGACGUCAUUUUUGUAUAAGGCAAAAACACGGGUGAAACUCUAUUGUUUUGCACUUUUCUAUGCAAUCACUCCUAAUGAACAUGCAUCGGCAUUUAAUGAGAUGUUUCCUCUUCCUCUGAACUGUUUGCACCUUUGCCAUAUAUACUUACUAGCAAAUAGACAAUCAGUUUUCCCCAGUAGAUGUCAUUGUGUAUCAACCACACUUCAGUGCAUGCCCUAGGCUCAGGUAGUUGGCCAGCAGAAAACAUAUCCUUUGUGUAUCUGAUGGGUUUUUUGUUUCAUUUUGGUCUUACUGGGUUUUUGUUUGUUUUGAUUUUCUUGUUUGUUUUGUUUUAUUUUGAGACAGAGAGAGAGAGAGAGAGAGAGAGAGAGAGAGAACCUGAAGUCCGGUGUGAAAAGAAUGUAAAAGUUGAGGGAGGGAAAAUGAUUAAAAUGUAUUAUAUUAAAAAAUUAAAGUAAAAAGAAUAACAACAAUAAAAAUUCAGUUGGGUAUACACACAUGGGGCUAUCUUGUGGUUUCUGUGCUUUAUUCUAUUCUAUAUCUUUCCCUGUACUGAUUGAUACCGUAUUGUCUGCAAUUACUUCAGUAAUAUUCUUCCAUUUUGUUCUUCUAAAGAAUUUCCUUGAGUUUAGGACCCAGAGUUUCCAUGUGAAUUAAAAUGGUCUAUAUUUGUAGAAACCACUGCAAGAGUUUGAUAUGAAUUACUUUAACCCGACAGAACAAAUUGAGAAUUAAUAUAUAAUAGGUUGGGUCUUCCAUUCCCUGAAAUACUGCAUAUGUCUUCAUUUAGUCAGGUCUUUGAUUUUUAGCUCACCAGCAAUGAAUAAUUUUCAGCUUUGAAAUUUUAUAUACACCAUGUUAGAUUCAUAACCAUUUCAUUUUCUCUGUAAUAAUUAUAUAUUGUAUUUUUUAAGGUUUCCACUCAUUUGUUACUGUUUCAUAAAAUUAUGACUGGUUUCUUUCUCUGAGUUGACUUUGUGUCCUAGAAACUUUCUGAACUUGUUUGCUAUUCCUGAAAAAUACUAUUGAAAUUAUUUUUAUUUUUUUAUUUGGGAAAUUAUGUCAGCUACAACUGGGGAGUUUUGUCUCAUUUAAAUGCAUUUGUGCCCUAUAUUGCCAGGCUAUGAUGUUUAACAUCACAUCUGUCAGGAGAGGUGUAGACCAACGAAGAACACUUCUUGUUUCUGAUCCCUCAUAGGAAGAAUCCAGACUUUCACUUUCUGCAUAAUGAUGGCUAUAGGAUGUCUCAUAGUCAGCCCUUACAAAAUUGAAACUCCCAACCAUGCCCAUUUUUAAGUUUUAAUAAUGACUUAUAUUGGUAUAUUUCAAAUGAUUUCCUGUAUUCAUAGAUAUAACCUUGUUUCCUUUCAACUUAUUGAGAUAAGAUAGAUUGCAUUGAUUGUUUAUCGAAUGUCAAAUUAAAUUUGUACAUCUGGAAUAAAUGCUGUUUGGUUACUGUACAUAAUUCUUGAACAUACUUUUAAGUUCACGGCAUUAAUAUUUUGUUAAGUCUCUAUAUGGCUGUGUUCCUGAGAGACAGGGUCUGUUAGGUUUUGGUCCUGUAUACCUGAUAUUAAUUACUGAUAAGAGGUUAAAUGAGUGGUUGUGUUGUGGAACUCCUGUGUAACUUCUGAAAAGAGAUAGUGAGCUGGUGUUCCUUCUGCUUUGAACACUUGGUCAGGAUCGCAAAGAUUUCUUUACUGGGAGCCUUUUAAUUUACCAAAUGGAAAAACCUGUAGACAUUUGCACCUGUUUUACAUUUGUUGAUUUUACUUAGUUGGUAGUUUUGAGGAGUUAGGUUUCUUUUUCUUCUACAUCACUGACACCAUAACGUAGCAGAGGCUGUUGCCUUACAUCUCCUCAUUUAUUUUUUCCUUUUCCUUUUUAAUUUUUUCUCUCCUUUCUUUUCUCUCUCUUCAUUCCUGUUUGCUGUGCCAGAGAAUGAACUCAGCACCUAUGCG